rnacentral:misc_RNA from 1 species
UGAUUGCUGCAUAUUUAACUCCAUCAGGGUUGACCAAAACUAUUAUAUAUAUGCAACAUUAUUAUCACAUUUGUUGAAUUUACAAAAGUCUAAGUAAUUUUUUUUUUCAUUUGUUUGUACCAAAUAUUUUUUUCCAUCCUGGUUCACGACAAAAGUGCCUACGGUAAUUCUUUUAUACAUGAACUGUUCACUGGUGUUCAUUUCCAUGGAAGCUUUAUUGAUUUUUAUUUGAAUUCUGUGCAUCAUUUGAAGUUUUGCUUUUGAAUACCAUGUAAAUUUUCUUAAAUUUUUGUCUGUCCAAUUUUGGUUGUUAACCUAAAAAAAUUACAUAUUUUGAUAAAUUGAAAAUUAAACGUUUGUUUAUACUUGUAUCAUUAGCAGGAACACUUUAUGUUAAAUUCUAAUUUUUGUUUUGGCAUGCAUUUCUACCCUGUUGGAAGAUGUUUGAAUUCAUAUGUUUUAUUAUGUAUCUCAUCUGAGUUCUUUGCUCAAAAUGACUUGAUUAAAACUUUGUGUGUUGAUAUUUUUUAUAAUUAUCAUAACAUGUACGAGACUUGUUUAUUUUAAUUUGUAAAUAAUCAUCAAGCAUUUUAUUGACUGUACAUAAAUCCGACCCAUCAUUUACAUUGUGCGAUAGUGGUUUCGGUUGCCCUUCAUUACACUUUUUGUACUAUUAUGAUGUGAUGUAUCAUCACAUUUAAAUUGAUGUCACCACACAUUUCACUUCUCUACCAAAGCAUCCAGAAAGUAACACAUUCAAAAUUUAAAUGUUUUAAGUUUUUUGUUGAUAUCCUCAUUCCAGUUUUAUUUAUUUUUCAAUCAAUCAACAUUUUUAUGUUCUCAAAGUAGCCUUGCAAAGAGAAGUUCCGAAUCAGAUUAUUUUCCCUUAAAAUAAUUAACUUAUGACUGAAUAUUCAUGUACAGUAUAUAUUUGCCUCUGUUUCUCAAAUUUAAGCUUUAAAAGCAUCACUGUAGCACUGAUAAAUUGUUUGAUUUUUAUUUUUGGAGGUUUUUUUUUUCUUUGGUAUUAAAGCUAAUAAAUAAUGCUGUGGCUUUAUUUGAAAGACUUUUAUCCCUUCAAUAAUUCUUUAAAUUUUGGAUCUACCUCAAUUACCUGUGGUAAAGAAGUAUUCAUUGAUGAAAAAGAUACAUAAGUCAUUCAUUAUCUGUGAAUGUAAUGAUGCACAGUAGGUUAUUUAUUCGGUGCAAAUACAUAUACUUACAAUGUAUAUUGAGUUAUCUACCUUGUAUCAUCAUUGCUUUGAAAUUUGUGUAUGUUUUCCUUAAGUACCAGUACUUGAAUCAGUGCUGGGAUUUUUUAUAUAUUGUAACUCAUAUGAUUAUAUGCUAUAUGGAAAAGCAUCUACAGAAAUGUGCCCUGUUCUAAUUUACAAACUGGUGUAAUUAUUUAAAUGGGAUGGAGAAAGAAAGGGGGUGUAAAAUGGGUUGUCCAUAUUCUUCACUUAAACUGUGAUGUCUAUUCUCUCUCUCUCUCUUUGGUUUCAUAUUUUCAGACAGCAACUCCAUUUAGAGAGAGAGAAACUUGUUGUUCUGUAUUAACUGUAAGGUGUAUAUACAUGUACAUAAUGUUAUAUUAUAUAAUCAUUUUUUUUCAUGUCAGUACCAUAUAUUUUACACUUUAUUUGCAGUUGUAAAUAGAAACGAUCAAAGAAAAAAAAAACAUUAAAAAUUAAAAAAUUGUAAUAUG